UACGUAGGGUGCGAGCGUUGCCCGGAUUUACUGGGCGUAAAGAGCGCGCAGGCGGUCGUUCAAGUCGCGUGUGAAAGCCCCCGGCUCAACUGGGGAGGGUCACGCGAUACUGAUCGACUCGAAGGCAGGAGAGGGUAGUGGAAUUCCCGGUGUAGUGGUGAAAUGCGUAGAUAUCGGGAGGAACACCAGUGGCGAAGGCGACUUCCUGGCCUGUUCUUGACGCUGAGGCGCGAAAGCUAGGGGAGCAAACGGG
rnacentral:rRNA from 1 species